GAUGAACGCUGGCGGCGUGCUUAACACAUGCAAGUCGAACGAAGCAUUUGCGACAGAUUUUUUCGGAAUGAAGUUGCUUAUGACUGAGUGGCGGACGGGUGAGUAACGCGUGGGUAACCUGCCUUGUACUGGGGGAUAGCAGCUGGAAACGGCUGGUAAUACCGCAUAAGCGCACAAUGUUGCAUGACAUGGUGUGAAAAACUCCGGUGGUAUAAGAUGGACCCGCGUCUGAUUAGCUAGUUGGUGAGAUAACAGCCCACCAAGGCGACGAUCAGUAGCCGACCUGAGAGGGUGACCGGCCACAUUGGGACUGAGACACGGCCCAGACUCCUACGGGAGGCAGCAGUGGGGAAUAUUGCACAAUGGAGGAAACUCUGAUGCAGCGACGCCGCGUGAGUGAAGAAGUAAUUCGUUAAGUAAAGCUCUAUCAGAAGGGAAGAUAGUGACGGUACCUGACUAAGAAGCUCCGGCUAAAUACGUG
rnacentral:rRNA from 1 species